rnacentral:tRNA from 1 species
UGGGGUUGUGGCUCAGUGGUAGAGCACUUGCCUAGCAUGUGUGAAGCACUGGGUUCACAACUCAGCACCACAA